CAGAUUUCGGAUUGCUACGAUUAUACUGUGAAAUUAAUUUGCAGUAGAAAAUUGAGGUUUAAAAUAUUUCCAUUGAUUUCUUUAUUCUUAUAAUUUUUACAAGAGAAAUUGAAAAUGGAUUUAGAACAGAAAGGCGUAAAAUUCAUUAUAAAAUUGAUGUGACAGUUCAAAGUUUUGUACUUUCCAGACCUGCACAACGAAUUACCUAUUUGAAAAAUAGAAUAUGGUUAAAAAUUGCUGAUAUGAUAGAGGAUUCAAGUACUAUUUACAAACAAAAUAUUGAAGAGAAUGUGCUCAAAAGGAAAUGCAUAUGAAUUCUUUUUUGUUGACCAGGAUGGAAAAAUUCUUUGGAACCCAUGGUUAGAAUAAGUUAGUUAGGCCUAGAGGUGUACCAGCCAGAAGUAGAGGAUGACAAAGAAAAUCAACUAUG